UACGAAGGGGGCUAGCGUUGUUCGGAAUUACUGGGCGUAAAGCGCGCGUAGGCGGUGAUCCAUGUCAGAGGUGAAAUCCCAGGCUUAACCCUGGAAUUGCCUUUGAAACGGGAUCGCUAGAGUCCGAGAGAGGAUGGCGGAAUUCCUAGUGUAGAGGUGAAAUUCGUAGAUAUUAGGAAGAACACCGGUGGCGAAGGCGGCCAUCUGGGCUCGGUACUGACGCUCAGGCGACGAAAGGCGUGGGGAGCAAACAGGAUUGAGAA
rnacentral:rRNA from 1 species